GACGAACGCUGGCGGCGUGCCUAAUACAUGCAAGUAGAACGCUGAAGAGAGGAGCUUGCUCUUCUUGGAUGAGUUGCGAACGGGUGAGUAACGCGUAGGUAACCUACCUUGUAGCGGGGGAUAACUAUUGGAAACGAUAGCUAAUACCGCAUAACAAUAGGUGACACAUGUCAUUUAUUUGAAAGGGGCAAUUGCUCCACUACAAGAUGGACCUGCGUUGUAUUAGCUAGUAGGUGAGGUAACGGCUCACCUAGGCGACGAUACAUAGCCGACCUGAGAGGGUGAUCGGCCACACUGGGACUGAGACACGGCCCGGACUCCUACGGGAGGCAGCAGUAGGGAAUCUUCGGCAAUGGGGGCAACCCUGACCGAGCAACGCCGCGUGAGUGAAGAAGGUUUUCGGAUCGUAAAGCUCUGUUGUAAGUCAAGAACGAGUGUGAGAGUGGAAAGUUCACACUGUGACGGUAGCUUACCAGAAAGGGACGGCUAACUACGUGCCAGCAGCUGCGGUAAUACGUAGGUCCCGAGCGUUGUCCGGAUUUAUUGGGCGUAAAGCGAGCGCAGGCGGUUUGAUAAGUCUGAAGUUAAAGGCUGUGGCUCAACCACAGUUCGCUUUGGAAACUGUCAAACUUGAGUGCAGAAGGGGAGAGUGGAAUUCCAUGUGUAGCGGUGAAAUGCGUAGAUAUAUGGAGGAGCACCGGUGGCGAAAGCGGCUCUCUGGUCUGUAACUGACGCUGAGGCUCGAAAGCGUGGGGAGCGAACAGGAUUAGAUACCCUGGUAGUCCACGCCGUAAACGAUGAGUGCUAGGUGUUGGAUCCUUUCCGGGAUUCAGUGCCGCAGCUAACGCAUUAAGCACUCCGCCUGGGGAGUACGACCGCAAGGUUGAAACUCAAAGGAAUUGACGGGGGCCCGCACAAGCGGUGGAGCAUGUGGUUUAAUUCGAAGCAACGCGAAGAACCUUACCAGGUCUUGACAUCCCGAUGCUAUUUCUAGAGAUAGAAAGUUACUUCGAUACAUCGGUGACAGGUGGUGCAUGGUUGUCGUCAGCUCGUGUCGUGAGAUGUUGGGUUAAGUCCCGCAACGAGCGCAACCCCUAUUGUUAGUUGCCAUCAUUCAGUUGGGCACUCUAGCGAGACUGCCGGUAAUAAACCGGAGGAAGGUGGGGAUGACGUCAAAUCAUCAUGCCCCUUAUGACCUGGGCUACACACGUGCUACAAUGGUUGGUACAACGAGUUGCGAGUCGGUGACGGCAAGCUAAUCUCUUAAAGCCAAUCUCAGUUCGGAUUGUAGGCUGCAACUCGCCUACAUGAAGUCGGAAUCGCUAGUAAUCGCGGAUCAGCACGCCGCGGUGAAUACGUUCCCGGGCCU
rnacentral:rRNA from 1 species